UACGAAGGGGGCUAGCGUUGCUCGGAAUCACUGGGCGUAAAGGGUGCGUAGGCGGGUCUUUAAGUCAGGGGUGAAAUCCUGGAGCUCAACUCCAGAACUGCCUUUGAUACUGAGGAUCUUGAGUUCGGGAGAGGUGAGUGGAACUGCGAGUGUAGAGGUGAAAUUCGUAGAUAUUGGGAAGAACACCGGUGGCGAAGGCGGCGACCUGGUCCGAGACUGACGCUGAGGCGCGAAAGCGUGGGGAGCAAACAGG
rnacentral:rRNA from 1 species